AUGGCUCAGGAUGAACGCUGGCGGCGUGCUUAACACAUGCAAGUCGAACGAAGAUGCCGGAGUGCUUGCACUUUGGCAGACUGAGUGGCGGACGGGUGAGUAACGCGUGGGUAACCUGCCUUAUACAGGGGGAUAACAGUUGGAAACGACUGCUAAUACCGCAUAAGCGCACGGUAUUGCAUGAUACAGUGUGAAAAACUCCGGUGGUAUAAGAUGGACCCGCGUCUGAUUAGCUAGUUGGUGAGGUAACGGCCCACCAAGGCGACGAUCAGUAGCCGGCCUGAGAGGGUGAACGGCCACAUUGGGACUGAGACACGGGCCCAAACUCCUACGGGAGGCAGCAGUGGGGAAUAUUGCACAAUGGGGGAAACCCUGAUGCAGCGACGCCGCGUGAGUGAUGAAGUAUUUCGGUAUGUAAAACUCUAUCAGCAGGGAAGAUAAUGACGGUACCUGACUAAGAAGCACCGGCUAAAUACGUG
rnacentral:rRNA from 1 species